rnacentral:rRNA from 1 species
ACUCCUACGGGAGGCAGCAGUAGGGAAUAUUGCACAAUGGAGGAAACUCUGAUGCAGCGACGCCGCGUGAGUGAUGAAGGCCCUCGGGUUGUAAAACUCUGUGAUAUGGGAAGAUGAUGACGGUACCAUAUCAGAAAGGACCGGCUAACUUCGUGCCAGCAGCCGCGGUAAUACGAGGGGUCCAAGCGUUGUUCGGAAUUACUGGGCGUAAAGCGGGUGUAGGCGGCUUGGUCAGUCGGAUGUGAAAGCCCUGGGCUCAACCCAGGAAGUGCAUCCGAUACUGCCAAGCUUGAGUACUGGAGAGGGAAGUGGAAUUCCUGGUGUAGUGGUGAAAUACGUAGAUAUCAGGAGGAACAUCGGUGGCGAAGGCGGCUUCCUGGCCAUGUACUGACGCUCAGACCCGAAAGCGUGGGGAGCAAACAGGAUUAGAUACCCUGGUAGCGAGUA